rnacentral:rRNA from 1 species
UACAGAGGGGGCGAGCGUUGUUCGGAAUUACUGGGCGUAAAGGGCGCGUAGGCGGCCUACUAAGUCAGACGUGAAAUCCCUCGGCUCAACCGGGGAACUGCGUCUGAUACUGGUGGGCUUGAAUCCGGGAGAGGGAUGCGGAAUUCCAGGUGUAGCGGUGAAAUGCGUAGAUAUCUGGAGGAACACCGGUGGCGAAGGCGGCAUCCUGGACCGGUAUUGACGCUGAGGCGCGAAAGCCAGGGGAGCAAAUGGG